GUAAUCAGUCAAGGCACUUAGACCGCCUGCUGAGCUAGAUUUCUUCCCGCACGUAGGCCUACCAUGAUCUCCCAAGUUGAGUCACAGCUUUUGAACAUGGUCUGGAUCUAAUGUUGCAGUAAGCUAACAAUAGAAAUUGUCCUAUGCUAUGGCACAUUUUCAAAACGGGCCUCCUCCAGAAAUUAAGAUACGGUGUAACUUUGGCUGUAAUGAUCAGCGAGGACCGACAGACACAAGAUAUCAGAAGAGGUGCCCUACACAUUCAAUUUAAAGAUGGCCACAGAAGGCUGGUACCAGUCUCCAGGUUCUGCAAGAGAGCAAUUCAUGAAAACUGAACUUAAUCUACGACAUACUGGAUUCAGGAGCUAAAAUUUUUUUUUUUAACCUUUUUUUCCUUCAAUGAUGCAGACAUUUUUUGGUAUCCUUCCCCAGAUCUGUGCC